rnacentral:lncRNA from 1 species
GGUGGUGAAUGUGACGGCCUGGACCUCCAUCGUGCGGCUGCUCGCCACCUGCGCGGGGAAAACGCCCCAGACGGCGGCGAAGAUCAACACUUACAGUGAGGACGGCGACCCGGGCCGGGCCGGGCGGGCGGGCGGGGGAGGGCAGCGCCGGCUGGCCGCCGCUAGGGGGCGCGCGCGGGCCCGUCUCAGGGGCUCCCCUCUCGCCUUAGAGCGGCCACGCAGCGUGAUCCUGGAGCCGCAGGCCCUCGUGGGCGGCCGCUACACCCUGCGCUGCUAUGUGACACACCUGUUCCCCGUGGGCUUGCUGGUGCUGACCCUGCGACGUGGCGGCCGGAUCAUGUAUUUUGAACGCCUGGAGCGCUUCAAAAGCCUAGAUCUGGCCAACGUGACCCUGACCCACACGUUUCACGCCAGGCCCAGAGACCUCUGGCAGCCCAUGACCUGCCACGCGCGCCUCAAUCUCAGCGGCCUGGUGGUGUACAGCAGCUCGGCACCUGUCAUCCUGACAGCCCUGGAUUGGAGCCCUGAGUCCAAAGCCUUGGCCUACACAUCCAUUGCGGCCUUCGUGGGGAUCCUUCUAGCACUGGGGGUCACCUUCCUGAACAGAUGCCUAGCAACGCGACAUACAGGGAAGUGCUCUGCCGGCUGAGAGCAAGGGAAAAAAAAUCUGGAACAAUUUGCAAUUCGGAAAACUGCUCAGACCAAUAAAGAUUCC